CUUCAACACAUACUGUCCUCCUGAGCCAGGACGCAGACCAUGACUACUUUUGCCUCUGCACGUCUGUUCUGAUUUCUUUCUUCAUGUGGGAUGCCUCUCUAUCCUUCUCCUGCUUUUAAUAUGGAGCUUCAGUCUCUAAGCUAAAAGGCCAAGUCCAGAUUCACCUGCCAAUGAAGCUCUUUAAAUUAUCUCUUCUUUCUCAGGACUCACUGGCUAUCAGACAUUACUUUAGGUGAAGACUUUCCAGUCUGACUUCCCUCACCUGAGCAAAAAGAAGCAUUGGAGAAGACACUUGAUGUCACAUUAAUGAAAGGGAAUAAUGGAUUAAGGAAAGCUUGGUAGCAAAAAGAAGUUAAAAUAUAUCUGAGAAAAGUAUUUUAAACCAUAAAUAACUUGCUCCUCUUGGCUGUGACACUU
rnacentral:lncRNA from 1 species